GAUGAACGCUAGCUACAGGCUUAACACAUGCAAGUCGAGGGACCGGCGCACGGGUGAGUUAUAUGUAUACAUCCUGCCCUUUACUCGGUGAUAGCCUUUCGACAGAACGAUUAAUACCCGAUAUCAAGGACGGGGAUGCGUUUCAUUAGGUUGUUGGUGAGGUAACGGCUCACCAAGCCUUCGCUGGAUAGGGGUUCUGUGGGGAAGGCCCCCUGCAUUGGAACUAAGACACGGUCCAAACUCGUACGGGGGGCAGCAGUGAGGAGUAUAGGGCAAGGAGCGCUAGCCUGGCCCAGCCAAGUAGCGGAAAGGAUGAAGGCUUAUGGGACGUAAACUUCUUGUAUAUAAGAAUAUGUAUUAUAUGAAUAAGGAUCGGCUAACUCCGUGCCAGCAGCCGCGGUAAUUC
rnacentral:rRNA from 1 species